rnacentral:snRNA from 15 species
AGUGUUACAUGGGUUGGGGGAUCCCGCGAUCAAGAAAGCGGGACCCCCAUGGUGAGGCCAGUGCACUGCACCCCAGCAUGAGUUGAUGCGUGUGGCCGCCCCGAGUUGAAGUAAGCCAGCAGCUAAAUUUCUGCGUGUUGACCAACGUUCGCGCAGCCAC